rnacentral:hammerhead_ribozyme from 1 species
AUCCAGCUGAGGAGUCCCAAAUAGGACGAAAUGCGCCUGAUCCUGGAU